CGUCAAAUCAUCAUGCCCCUUAUGCCCUGGGCUACACACGUGCUACAAUGGCCGGUACAAUGGGCUGCGAACCCGCGAGGGGGAGCCAAUCCCAAAAAGCCGGUCUCAGUUCGGAUCGCAGGCUGCAACUCGCCUGCGUGAAGCCGGAAUCGCUAGUAAUCGCGGAUCAGCAUGCCGCGGUGAAUACGUUCCCGGGCCUU
rnacentral:rRNA from 1 species